rnacentral:rRNA from 1 species
UCCAGACUCCUACGGGAGGCAGCAGUGGGGAAUAUUGCACAAUGGGGGAAACCCUGAUGCAGCGAUGCCGCGUGAAGGAAGAAGUAUUUCGGUAUGUAAACUUCUAUCAGCAGGGAAGAAAAUGACGGUACCUGACUAAGAAGCCCCGGCUAACUACGUGCCAGCAGCCGCGGUAAUACGUAGGGGGCAAGCGUUAUCCGGAUUUACUGGGUGUAAAGGGAGCGUAGACGGCCAUGCAAGCCUGGAGUGAAAGCCCGGGGCCCAACCCCGGGACUGCUCUGGGAACUGUGCGGCUGGAGUGCGGGAGGGGCAGGCGGAAUUCCUGGUGUAGCGGUGAAAUGCGUAGAUAUCAGGAGGAACACCGGCGGCGAAGGCGGCCUGCUGGACCGCGACUGACGUUGAGGCUCGAAAGCGUGGGGAGCAAACAGGAUUAGAUACCCGUGUACC